rnacentral:lncRNA from 1 species
GCUUCUCCAGGUCAGUUCAAAGCUUGCUGUGGACUAGCCAGACCACUUUCUUUCUGUGUCUUUCAGUGUUGCACAUCUCCAAAGAUGGAAGGAUUAGAAGCAGAGGGGGAAGAACUCCAGACUAUCUUUCCUAGCGAGUCUUUGGUGGCCUCUCCUUCCCAGAUGGACCCCAUCAAAGAUACAUUAAAGCUUGGGGCAAAGCCAAGUAUGAAGACUUUGAACAGAAGCAUACUGUCAACUUUUCUGAAUCCCAGGAACACAUUUAAGCCAUCCCCUUCAUUUCAUGCUUCUCGUCUUGAACUGAGGAAGUAAUAUACCAAGUUGCCUUUUGAACUGAAAGCAAUAAUGUGAUUUUCUAAAUAUGAAGACUUCUCCUGUAAAAAUGGGUGGAUGAGAACAAUUUGUUCCAAUAGUCAUGAAGGAGGCUGAAGCAGGUGCUAUGGAGAGCUUCGAGCGUGGUCAGACAUUAAAGAUACCAAGAUCAUCCACUGCAUCACCAGUCAUCUCCAGACCUCCUGACUUUUGUCUGGCCACUGGAUUUGUAUGACUCUGGAAGAGAAAGUGAGACUGACCACUUUGUUCAACAAUGACUUACUCAAAUCUGAUUCACACACAAGUCAAGACAUCACCCUGUGGUAUCACUGGUGCUCUUCAACAAUGAAGGAUCCUCGACAACAAAUGACAACAACCUCAUUAGAAUAGAAAGUUAGGUUUUGGCCACUGGUGAAUAAGAACCCCAUCCUUUUCUUUCUUUUUCUGUCUUUUCUGCUAUAAUGUUGGGGGUAUAACAUGAGCUCAAUGAAGUCUUAUAGAUUUAAUGAAUGAAUAUUCCUGAAACACAUUCUAUUUUCUAUUAAGCAUGAAUCCUAGAUAGAAAAAACGACAUGUUAUUUAGCUCAAUUCUCUCAUUUUACAGAUGAGGAUAUGGAAGCCCAGAGAAACUAAGUCAAUUGUUCUGUGCCACACAGAUAGUUAGUAGCAGAAUUCAAAUUUGAACCCAGAUUCUUUGACUCCUAAUCUAGUUCUUUUGAACUACACUACAGUGGUUUCUUCCAAUACCUUCUUGAUUUCUAAGCCAUUAAGGAAAUGUCUUUUUCUUCUCAGGGAUGAUUUCUGGUGAUGUUGGUUGGUUUAAAAGAAAAAUGAAAAUAGAGAUGCCAAAUCCUUAACUAUUUCAGUAAUGUAACAUCUGUCAGUGUUGGCUUUUAUGUCUCAGUUUGCCUGCUUUCUUGAGGUGAUGAACCUACUGGGCAAAAGCCAGCAUGUAUCUAUUUUUAUACUGUAUGGUAACUACUAAUCCAUAAUUAUCGUG